rnacentral:rRNA from 1 species
GACGAACGCUGGCGGCGUGCCUAAUACAUGCAAGUCGAACGCAGUGGGGACGGGUGAGUAACACGUGGGUAACCUCCCAUCAGAGGGGAUAACACUUGGAAACAGGUGCUAAACCUAUACUAAUGGUUCGACCCGGGGUGCAUUAGCUAGUUGGGGGGGUAACGGCUCACCAAGGCCACGAUGCAUCGCCGACCGGAGGGGGUGAGCGGCCACACUGGGACUGAGACACGGCCCAGACUCCAACGGGAGGCAGCAGUAGGGAAUCUGCGGAAAUGGACGAAAGUCUGACCGAGCAACGCCGCGUGAGUGAAGAAGGGUUUCGGAUCGUAAAACUCUGUUGUGAGAGAAGCGGUAUCUAACCAGAAAGCCACGGCUAACUACGUGCCAGCAGCCGCGGUAAUUC